rnacentral:rRNA from 1 species
GACGAACGCUGGCGGCGUGCUUAACACAUGCAAGUCGAACGGAAAGGCCCUGCUUUUGUGGGGUGCUCGAGUGGCGAACGGGUGAGUAACACGUGAGUAACCUGCCCUUGACUUUGGGAUAACUUCAGGAAACUGGGGCUAAUACCGGAUAGGAUCUCCUGCUGCAUGGUGGGGGUUGGAAAGUUUCGGCGGUUGGGGCUGGACUCGCGGCUUAUCAGCUUGUUGGUGUGGUAGUGGCUUACCAAGGCUUUGACGGGUAGCCGGCCUGAGAGGGUGACCGGCCACAUUGGGACUGAGAGACGGACCAGAAUCCUACGGGAGGCAGCAGUGGGGAAUAUUGCACAAUGGGCGGAAGCCUGAUGCAGCAACGCCGCGUGCGGGAUGACGGCCUUCGGGUUGUAAACAGAUUUCGCCUGUGACGAAGAGUGAGUGACGGUAAUGGGUAAAGAAGCACCGGCUAACUACGUG